AAAAAGUCUGAAGAAGAUCUGGAAACUCACUCCACUAUGCAUUAGCUGGACAAUUUGGCAAGAAAUGUACUAGAGAUGUUCCGAAGGAGAAAAGGACAAGAUUUAUGUUUUAAAAUAUAGUUGUUUGCAACAUUUACCGUGUUGGCAUAAGAAAGAGCAUAUAUUACCUUUUGGACUUCCUAGAUUCAAUUUUUAAGUAGAUUUUGUACUAAUCCAAUUUUAUGUAUUCUCGCUUGAUACCUACUUGGUACUGUUUCCAUUAAUAAAAUUACCUUACUUAGAAAAACUAAAAUCUUAACACACCAACCAAACAAUGUACUAUAUUAUGCUGGUUUUUAUACACAGAUUAACUGUAAUAAAACAUUAGCCAAAUGGCACCUUAUUGAAUUAGACUACACAGACUUACACAUUAGCGAGGCCUCAAUACCCAAAGGUUCAUUGAAAAGCUUUAAUACUGGGUUCAACUAUACCUAGGCAUAACUUCAUUCUAUGGCUGGCAAUUCAUCACAGACUUACCACUGUUGAUAGACUGGCAGCUUGGGGGAUACAGGUAGCAAAUGAAUGCGUAUUGUGCAACAGUGGGAAAACAGAAACAAUGGUCCAUCUCUUUUUUGAAUGUCUACUCAAGGACCAUCUGGAGUACAAUGCUCAAUUGGUUGGGAGAGAGACAUCCAGUUGGACUUUGGGAGGAGGAAGUCUUCUGGCUGACGACAAGAACAAAAAAUGGUAGGCCUUGAAAUAGCAUAUUAGUAUUCCUGUUUGCAGCCGUGGUUUAUCAUACAUGGAUAGAAAGAAAUAUGCGCAAAUUUCAGGGGCAAAAGACUGAUACCAAAACAAGAAUUCGAAAUAUUGUCCUUCACCUACAUAUCAAAGGGAAACAGAAGACUAGAUGUAAGAAGAUAUUAGAAGGAGUCAAUAGUUUUCCUUUAUGAAUAAAUGAUAGUAUAAGUAGUAGAGGGACUAUUGAAAUGUAAAUAACAGUUUAGGUAUUGUUUCUUUUUUUGAGUCUAGCUCUUUAGUCCAAAGGAUCUAGAGGAGCCAUAAUUAUCUUUAUUUGUUGAAUAAAAUCUUUUGAUAUUUGACCAAAAAUAAAUUAGACUACACAAGCCUUUUUACUCUUGUUUAAUUAAACCCUCCAUCUAUCUUUAAUUAGGGGCUAAUUAGCCAUUUUAAAAUGGAAAAUUGGCAGAAAUGUACAACUUCUUUACACUUGUUUGCACCCCUUGUGAAACAAAUAUAUUUUGCCAUGGUAGCCCAACAAAAAAUAGCAACCGCUAGCGAAAUCUCACAAACAUACGUGAAUUUUCUUCUCACUCGCUUAAUUCCUCUUCCUUCUUCUGAUCUGCUCCAACUUCUUCUCUUCAUUUCAUUUCCCUUACCCCAUAACUCUUCAUUUACAUAGGCCUAGAGAGAGAUAAAAAUAUGAAAUGAGUGUAGAUAGGCUGCUUUCAGGUGUCCUUUUGAACCUCCAAUAUCAAUACUCUCUAAUUUGGUGAAUAGUCGAAGAAGGUUCUAAAGAACCACAAUUAAAGACUAAUUUGAGGCUUCAACUCGAAAUCUGAAAUUUCUUAGUAUUUGUUUUUGAAUUUUGAGAGAGUGUGGUUGGUAUUCUUUUGAAACACUAGAUGAUGCUAUAUACAAAAUUUGAAGAAGAUUAGAGGUGAUUUGAACUGGUUUGCAGUCAAAAUUUAGAGCUGAGAUCGAGCUGAAUUACCAUCACUGCUACAUUGCAUAUCAUACAAGAUACACACAAAUAUACGGGCAUAUACACAAAUAUACAAGGGGAACAUAAAAAUACAUGAGGAUAGACACAAAUAUACACCUCUUUCCUCCCUUCAAAUUCAUCCAGUACACCGUCAUCUCUCCACUCAAAACCACCGUAGCACCACCGUCCAAUCACUAUUAGCGUACUAAUUCAGCAUGAAUACACAAUUAAAAGCUCUUUACUCACAACACCAUUUGAGUUCAAAAUUAAAUGAAGAAAAAGGAGGAAGUCUAUUCCACCACUUCAUCUAUUACAUUUUUACAUCCCAAGAAUAAGGUAUUUAUACAAUGAGUCCCAAAAUUCUAUAAGGAAAGACAAUGAAUUACUAUUAAGAAAUUAAAUAUUAUAGAGCCAAUCUAUUCUCCUACAAUUAAGUUAGGAGACCUCCUUACAUAGACAUGUGGGUCCAUCCCCAUAAAUGAAAGGGAAGAAAAAAUGUCAAACAUGGUAGGCUAUGAGAUUUGCAAAUCUGCAGAAGAAAAAUGUCAAAUAUAGUAGGCGUGAGAGAGUGAGGCUACGCCUAUAAAAAGAGAGCUUCGACUCUCAUUUCUACACACGAGCAAAGAGAGAAAGAAAGAGUGAGGCAUCACAGACAGGGUAUAAGAAAAUAGUCUGUGAGAAAAAUAGAUAGUGAGCGAUAUUGUAGUGAGGUGAGAAUAUCAAAAGAGGGUUAUUUAUUUUGAGUGUUGUAGUGGUCUUUGGAGUAUUUUACUCCGACCUACAAAGUAUAAAAUUCCUUGCUAUAGUGAUAUCAGUUGCUCGUCUCGGGGCCGUGAUUUUUUCCCUUAGUCAAAAAGAUUUUUCACAUAAAAAUCUUGGUGUCGUUGUCACUCUUUUAUUCUUGUUAAUUAUCGUAUCUCGGUGCUACUUUAUUAUUUCACUUUUAUUACUGUGAAUAUUAUUUCUGUAGGGGGUUUAUUCCUAACAACUGGUAUCAGAGCACAUGUUCUGCUCGUUCACAGAAAUACUAUUCACUGUCGGUAGUACUAUACUCGGUGAAAAAUAAAAAUGUUCGGAGUAAAGUACGAGGUAGUAAAAUUUAAUGAAGAUAGC
rnacentral:lncRNA from 1 species